UGUUUUGACGGAUAGUACUAUAGUUAUGUAAUGAUUUCGAAACAUGGCUGCAUGCCUAUAUACACUGCCACGAAGCAGUGAAACGCCUGCUAGAAAUGAAACAUCUUGAGCGUUGCAAUUCUACAGGUGAGGGCUAGUGAAGGUUUAUUUUCUAGAGCAAUAACUGCCAAGUCAUGAUGAUAUUUGGCAAAAAGCGUUACAAAUUGGCGGUUGACUGAAUUAUCAAGGUAACAGUUUCGAAAUAAUUUUCCUCGGCCCUGAUUUAAAAGUUUUAUUAGCGAGAAUGGGACAGGUGGGUGACCAUUUUUGUUUUUCGCUAAAUCCAAGUCUCGACUCCAAUGGAUGCUAUAAAGAAAUAAAAGAUGUUAGUUUAUGUGAAAUAUUUUCAAUUAAUCACCGAAUCGCGUCUAUAUCCCUUAUAGAACACCAGAAAUGAAAGUGAAAGCUUUUUCGGACUCUGCAUGUAUACGUUUUCUUUAUUUUAUUUGUUUGGUUCGAAUCCACGACUGUAUGGCACACAUACCUAAGGUCCUAUAACGGUUCGUGUGCGUGAGUCGAUGACCGUCAACUGAAAUCCCCCACCGUAUAUACAGCUACUAUUCAAUACUAUUGUGCCUUUAGCUGUGUGGUAGCCACUCGAUUACCAAACACAUUAUACAACAUAAUUUUGGUAUUUUGAAUAACAUAGAAUUGGAGAAAAAAAAAAACUACGUAUUAUAGUCGAAUACAUGGCUGAAAACCUACAUCCGACAUACUUUACGGUUUCAUGAUUUUCCAGUCCAAGUCCCAUAUCAACCAACCUUUUUGAUCGGCAUGUUUGUUUUCGAUGUGAUAUAGCAAGUUAAAACUAUUUAAAAACUUUUUUUUUUAUAUCGUCCCUUAUCGUUUCGAUCAUCGAGUCUAAAGUGACAUCUGUUCAAUUUCUUCCUGGUUCCAAAGAUCGCAGCCAAAGUGUAUAGUUAAAGAUAUUACACUAAAAAUGAAUCGUCUUAUGCUCGGCUAAAAACAAAACAAAAACGGUUUCCCAGCCUAAAAUAAAAGUUAUUCGUCCCAAAUGAUAUUUGCAAAAUUUAAGUCUAGUAAAGGAGAAUAUGGUCGAUAAAUUUAUUGUUUUUAUUUGUUCACUUUUUCUUGAGUUGGCCUCGACUUAUUACACGGAUCAGCGUGUUGUUGAAUUGCUAUUUAGAAACUUAAGUUUCUCAAAAGGCAAGGCUGUUUGAGAAAGAAAGGCCAUGUAUGGUUUCUCUUACUGAGAUUUGCUUAUUUUGCUCUCUCUUUAAUGAAAACGAGUACAAACAGAAGAGUUUCAAGGCUAAGCGCCUUGAAACGCUAAUUGUAUAACAUGUUACACUAAAAUGUUCCUGUACUUGAACCAAUUUUUCAAUCCAUUAAUCAUAUAGUGGCCAUCCGCACCCAUUGCAAAUUUAUCGAGAUAUCCGCGAUCGAAAUCAAAUUCUGGUUUUACUUGUUUUUUUUUGCAUGUGGCCAAAUACGACAACAUUAAUUCGUUCAAAAUUUACGAGCUGCGAAACAGAGUUUUUACUUUUUGCUUGAGCUAAAUGGGCCGCUUGGCAAUAGUUGUUGAGCAUUUAAAACACGUGAAUUGGCCUAUUCUAAUUUGAGAAAAAAGAAUCUUCGUUCAAGGGGCCUCUUGCAAAAUCAAAGAUUCCAUUAUCGGGAACUAUAUACAUUAACCAAAAUUUUUAUUAUUUUAGAGAAACCACGAAAAAUUCGGAUUUCAGUCUCGGUUUAGUAAACAUCUAGCCACACCAGUUAAAGCCCAAACGAUAGAAUGCAGCGGGAAUCGCUAAAUCGGCCCUAAACUGUUUGCAUAGAGAGACGAUGGCAAAUCGAAAAGGAUUCAUGUCAAUUCGCAGGAAUCUUGAGAUCCUUUCGCAACUAGGACAGUAGCUCGAGGGAAAGAAUUUGAGAAGGACUCUACAUAUAGACUAGAGAGAACGGGAAAGGGACUUCAUUGAUGGCUAUACCAGUGAAAAGGGCUAGACGAUUGUGGCAUUCGGCAACGUGAAAGUUGGCUACGGAUCUAUGCGUCAUGUAUAUGCACUAUAGCAGCACCAUUCAUGGAACCCCCAUACUCUGGCGAGAGUGAAAGUUCUUUUUUCUUUUGUCUUCUAUGUUCCUCUUUGUUAACGUCUCUUAUACCUAGCUAGAUUCUCAUUAUACAUAUCAAGAUCUGUGAAUCUCUUAUCGUUUAAAUUAUUUUAGCCAAGAAUUCUUCGCUUUUUUUGGGAUCAAAUCAAAGGUUUCUAAACAGCUAAGGGCAUGUUUAACGACAAUAGCCAUAAGCUAUCGGGAAAGCAAAUUAAUUUUUAAAUGUUCAAAUACAAGCUUGAAAUUCACAGAACAAAAUACGCCCAAUGUCAUCAACUGAUAUUUUUGUUCCAUUUCCUCUUUUUGUAAACAUCGGCUAUUUUGGGAGAACCGGUCCUUGCACAACACUUUCCGAGAGGAUAGUGCCUGGCACUUGGUCUAACGAAAGUGUAUAUUUGUUCUUACCCAAGUCCAGAAAGCUGUGCGUGCAACUAACAUUUGCUUUUAAUUCCACAGCUUUUCAAAUCCGGAGCCUGGAAAUUCCACACAAUAAAAAUUCUGUUUUUAGCUGACAAAUUAAUAGUUUAUGUUUUAUACUUGUGAAAGCAUCGGCAAACACCAUGUAUUUCUUGAGCGAUGACUCCCACCAAUCGUUUAAUGAUUUUCAAAGUACGAUGUUUUUUAUGGUAACGCACGAAAACCUUAGGGAGGGAAAUGGUGGGUCACAAAGAACCUGUUACCGAGAAACGGGAAAUAAGAUCGAGUGGCAAUCUUGUAAAACAUUUCGAUUAAAGGACACAUAAAGAAAGAAACUAAACUAAAGGCGAAGAAAGUCAGAAGAAACAUUGAAAGUAGAAUGUGGAUUAAAUUAUACGCACCUGUACGUCUACGUCGUGGAUGGUGCGACUAGUAAGACCUUCACCCAAUGACCUAUUAGUAUUUCUACCCAUUUUUGGUUACUAUUACAUUCCUCUUGCAUUCACGAACAGGCCAUCCCGGUCACGCACCGUAUAAACAGCGGUCGUAAAAAAUGGCUGCUGCGGGGCAAAUCUAAUAAAGAGCCAAAAAUGAAGGAAAUUAAUGACAUGUAGGUAUAUGUAUUAUUAUCUGUAGCACUUUAUUUUGAACACUACAACACACUUACUCUGUUUAAGGGCGUCUCCAUACGUGCAAGUCGUCCUAAUCAAGUUGUAAAAAAGUUGAAAGUUCGCGAUAGCAAUCGUCCCAUUUUCAACAGGCACAUUUCUAGUUCUUUGACACCAAGUCAACGAACAAAAAACAUACAAAUCUCAUCAAAAACACGUGGUAUUCUGCUGAAUUAACAAGUCAAUACGGACACUAACGCGAGAGUGGAAUGCGAGAAAUUAAGAAUUCCUCUCUGUUCACCUAGUUUGACCUUAUUGAAACGUUCACUGACGUCAAACAGGAACAGAACAUGCACGUAGUAGGAUAUCCAUUUUCCCAGCUUUGGACAAAACCUUACCGGUUCAAUUGUGUCCUUUGUUGAAUAAAGCGAACUGCAAUAAAGCAUGCAUCAACACUUUCAAAUGAUGACGGUGCUCCUUCUUUCUUUUUCAAAAACACGUUUUUGAGGCACAAAAAAAAGGCUCUACUUUCUUCGAUUACAAAAUGAGUAUUUAGCUAUGGUGACGAUGGUAGCACACAACGAUAUACAUACAGUGGUUUUGCGGUUCUGCAAUGGCGGCAACAGCUCUAGAGCAACGGACACGAAAUAUCGCGUAAAAAAACGAAAGUGACCAGCCGAGUUUUUCUUUAUUUCAAGAAAGAGCCAUCGCUGGGUCACUACGAACCCGUUAGCCUUGUCCGACUGGUUGUAAGGCCUCUUUUGCAUCAACGUCUGCCAAAAAAAACAGCAGCUGGAACUCACAAAUGUUGGAUUGCAACCAACAGUUGCAGAAGACCCUAUCGAUGGUCAGAGUCGCUGCGGGCUACAGGACCUCAUUCUCAACGUCUUUUUAGCUGCUGACCAGCUGGGCACUUUUUCAUGAAUCUGGGGCUUUCUUGCGUGAAAGGGAUAAAGCCAUCUUUCUUUAUUUGCC